UACGGGGGGGGCUAGCGUUGUUCGGAAUUACUGGGCGUAAAGGGCGCGCAGGCGGCUGCUCAAGUCAGGCGUGAAAGGCCUGGGCUCAACCCGGGAAUUGCGCUUGAGACUGGGCUGGCUUGAGUGCGGGAGAGGACGGUGGAAUUCCCAGUGUAGAGGUGAAAUUCGUAGAUAUUGGGAAGAACACCGGUGGCGAAGGCGGCCAUCUGGACCGCAACUGACGUUGAGGCGCGAAAGGGUGGGGAGCAAUCAGG
rnacentral:rRNA from 1 species